ACGCUCGACACCUACGGUAGGCAGCAGUGGGGAAUAUUGCACAAUGGGGGAAACCCUGAUGCAGCGACGCCGCGUGAGCGAAGAAGUAUUUCGGUAUGUAAAGCUCUAUCAGCAGGGAAGAUAAUGACGGUACCUGACUAAGAAGCUCCGGCUAAAUACGUGCCAGCAGCCGCGGUAAUCUGAGCGGGCUGGCAAGGC
rnacentral:rRNA from 1 species